UACGUAGGUGGCAAGCGUUAUCCGGAAUUAUUGGGCGUAAAGCGCGCGUAGGCGGUUUCUUAAGUCUGAUGUGAAAGCCCACGGCUCAACCGUGGAGGGUCAUUGGAAACUGGGAAACUUGAGUGCAGAAGAGGAAAGUGGAAUUCCAUGUGGUAGCGGUGAAAUGCGCAGAGAUAUGGAGGAACACCAGUGGCGAAGGCGACUUUCUGGUCUGUAACUGACGCUGAUGUGCGAAAGCGUGGGGGAUCAAAACAGGAUUAGAUACCCCGGGUAGUCC
rnacentral:rRNA from 1 species